rnacentral:rRNA from 1 species
UGCCAGCAGCCGCGGUAAUACGUAGGGUGCUAACGUUGUUCGGAAUCACUGGGCAUAAAGCGCACGUAGGCGGCUAAGUCAGUUCGGUGUGAAAGCCCCCGGCUCAACCGGGGAACUGCAUCGGAUACUGCUUGGCUUGAGGACGGUUGGGGUGAGUGGAACUCCUGGUGGAGCGGUGAAAUGCGUAGAUAUCAGGAGGAACACCAGUGGCGAAAGCGGCUCACUGGACCGUAUCUGACGCUGAGGUGCGAAAGCUAGGGUAGCGAACGGGAUUAGAUA